rnacentral:lncRNA from 10 species
AGAAUAUACCAUUAUGAUAGAGAUAGGGGGUUGGAAGCAAGUUAGUAUAAUGGAACAUUCUCUGUCUCAGAAGAAGGGAGAGAACAUUCUAUAAAACUCAUUUUGCCCGUGACUCAACUGGCUGAGAAGCACUUUUGAAGUAGAAAACGGGAACUCACCAGGUUUCCAGUGCUCACUUGGUUGUGUUGUGCUGUGCCCAAAGUGUUGCUUCUUCUAUGACCUGAAUCAAGUGUUCUGCAUUAUUCCAAUGUCAGACCUGCCAGAGGGCAAAUUACCAAAUCAACAGUCUCCUUGGAUGAUAAAUCUCGAGCUCUUCAGCAGAACAGCAAACCAGCUGCUAUUCUCUGAGCUGCCUCAUGGAAGGGCCCAACUGGCAAGCAACUGAGACAAGCAAUCGUCAGAGAAGAAUGGAUGUACCCCAUCCAAAGUCCUGCAAUGAACUUGAAUGAUCCUGCAAUCUCAGAAUUGAAAGAAUCCUAUCAAAAACAAAGAACUUAUGAGCACAUACUGUACAGUAGAACUUGAGAUGACUGCAGCUCUUGUCUGCACCUUGAAGAUUUGCAAGAGUCCCUGAACUGGAAGACCGCACUAAGCUAUGCUCAGUUUCCUAACCCACUGUAACUGUAAGAUAAUAAAUGUUAUUCUUUUAA